rnacentral:rRNA from 1 species
CUUGCUAAUUUGCUGACGAGCGGCGGACGGGUGAGUAAUGCCUGGGAAUAUGCCUUAGUGUGGGGGAUAACUAUUGGAAACGAUAGCUAAUACCGCAUAAUGUCUUCGGACCAAAGAGGGGGAUCUUCGGACCUCUCGCGUCAAGAUUAGCCCAGGUGAGAUUAGCUAGUUGGUGGGGUAAGAGCUCACCAAGGCGACGAUCUCUAGCUGGUCUGAGAGGAUGAUCAGCCACACUGGAACUGAGACACGGUCCAGACUCCUACGGGAGGCAGCAGUGGGGAAUAUUGCACAAUGGGCGAAAGCCUGAUGCAGCCAUGCCGCGUGUAUGAAGGAGGCCUUCGGGUUGUAAAGUACUUUCAGUUGUGAGGAAGGGGGUAACGUUAAUAGCGUUAUCU